ACGUAGGGUGCGAGCGUUAAUCGGAAUUACUGGGCGUAAAGUGUGCGUAGGCGGCGUCGCAAGUCGAGUGUGAAAGCCCCGAGCUUAACUUGGGAAUUGCGCUCGAAACUACGGCGCUUGAGUGUGGCAGAGGGAGGUGGAAUUCCACGUGUAGCGGUGAAAUGCGUAGAGAUGUGGAGGAACACCAAUGGCGAAGGCAGCCUCCUGGGCCAACACUGACGCUCAUGCACGAAAGCGUGGGGAGCAAACA
rnacentral:rRNA from 1 species